AAGGCUUGACAUGCAUUUCUAAGCGCGUGAAAGCGCGUGACCCUUCGGGGGACUUGCACAGGUGCUGCAUGGCCGUCGUCAGCUCGUGUCGUGAGAUGUUGGGUUAAGUCCCGCAACGAGCGCAACCCCUGUGGACAGUUGCCAGCGGGUAAUGCCGGGGACUCUGUUCAGACUGCCCAGAUCAACUGGGAGGAAGGUGGGGACGACGUCAGGUCAGUAUGGCCCUUACGCCUUGGG
rnacentral:rRNA from 1 species